rnacentral:rRNA from 1 species
GGUGACGACCGGCGCACGGGUGAGUAACGCGUAUCCGACCUACCCAUAACACGGGCACAGCCGCUCGAAAGAGUGAUUGAUUCCCGAUAUGUUCUUAGAGUAGAUUUAAGAAUGAAAGAUUCAUCGGUUAUGGAUGGGGAUGCGUAAGAUUAGGUAGUAGGCGGGGUAACGGCCCACCUAGCCGACGAUCUUUAGGGGUUCUGAGAGGAAGGUCCCCCACACUGGUACUGAGACACGGACCAGACUCCUACGGGAGGCAGCAGUGAGGRAUAUUGGUCAAUGGGCGGAAGCCUGAACCAGCCAAGUAGCGUGAAGGAUUACAGCCCUACGGGUUUUAAACUUCUUUUAUAUGAGAGUAAUGUGCUCCACGUGUGGAGUAUUGCAAGUAUCAUAUGAAUAAGCAUCGGCUAACUCCGUGCCAGCAGCCGCGGUAAUACGGAGGAUGCGAGCGUUAUCCGGAUUUAUUGGGUUUAAAGGGAGCGUAGGCGGGAUAUUAAGUCAGUCGUCAAAGCCUGUGGCUCAACCACAGCCCGCGAUUGAUACUGGUAACCUUGAGUGCGGAUGAGGUGGAUGGAAUUCGUGGUGUAGCGGUGAAAUGCUUAGAUAUCACGAAGAACUCCGAUU